CCUACGGGGGGCUGUAGUGGGGAAUUUUGGACAAUGGGGGCAACCCUGAUCCAGCCAUUCCGCGUGAGUGAAGAAGGCCUUCGGGUUGUAAAGCUCUUUCGGCCGGGAAGAAAUCGCAUCUCCUAAUACGGGGUGUGGAUGACGGUACCGGAAGAAGAAGCACCGGCUAGCUACGUGCCAGCAGCCGCGGUAAUACGUAGGGUGCGCGCGGUAUUCGGAAUUACUGGGCGGCAAGCUAAGGCAGGCGGCUAAUCCCCGGGCUUAACCUGGGAACUGCGUUUGUGACUGGUGGGCUUGAGUGCGGCAGAGGGGGGUGGAAUUCCACGUGUAGCAGUGAAAUGCGUAGAGAUGUGGAGGAACACCGAUGGCGAAGGCAGCCCCCUGGGUCGACACUGACGCUCAUGCACGAAAGCGUGGGGAGCAAACAGGAUUAGAUACCCGUGUAGUC
rnacentral:rRNA from 1 species